rnacentral:rRNA from 1 species
GACAGAGGGUGCAAACGUUGUUCGGAAUUACUGGGCGUAAAGCGCGUGUAGGCGGCCAUGCAAGUCGGAUGUGAAAGCCCUCGGCUCAACCGGGGAAGUGCACUCGAAACUGCAAGGCUAGAGUCUCGGAGAGGAUCGUGGAAUUCUCGGUGUAGAGGUGAAAUUCGUAGAUAUCGUAAGGAAGACCAGUGGCGAAGGCGAAUCUCUGGACAGUUACUGACACUGAGGCACGAAGGCCAGGGGAGCAAACGGG